AUAUUAUUUACCCUUCUUUUUAUGAUGGUGCACGAAUCAAUGAAAAUAGGACCUAGCUUGCUUGCUUUUUGUUGUCUAUGUGCAGCUAGAAGGCCGAUGCUGCCUCUAUUUGGAGGGUUUCCUAUCAGAAGGGCAUGCAGAUCUUCAAGUUCGUGAUUGCAAUUUGGAAUAUGACUAGAUGUCAUAGCUGGCAAUGACUAUUGGUGGACCAGUUUUAGUUUCUUUGCCUUUGGCUGUACGGCUGGUUGGGUUCUGUUUUUAUCAGGCAUUCAAUACUCAUGUGCCCCCUUUUUAAUUAUCUAUAUUGGUGGCAUGCUUGUUCAUGGUACUGCGGUGUACUCUGUUUGUUAUUGGCAUCGCGAGUCGUAACCAUACCGGUUAAUUGGUGCCAAGGCGAAACUUAUGAUCGAGGUCAUUCCUAUGAUAGUUGCAGCAGCCAUAAGGGUUUUCACUGGUGAUGAUAGGUAUCUCAUUAUUCUACUGCUAGGCUGCACCUCAUAUUUCUACAGCUUUGCCCACUUCCUGCACGUAGCAUAUGAUAUUGGAGGAAAAGACAUAUUUUUGGGAUUAUCGAUGUUGCUUCUUGUUCACAGGCUAAGUGAAAAAUUGUUAGUUGGUGCUUUGGCUUUGAGCUUCUGCCUUUGUUUAAGUUUAUAUAGAUACAUGACAUAUUGUGCUCCUGAAUUACCUAUUCAUCCUACUAAAAAGGAGCUGCCUGUUUGAUCACAAGGUGUAAGGAAUUGUGUACCUUUACAGUAUCUCCUAAGUUGUAAGUUAUUUUCUAUGUUGCUUCCAGUGUGAGAGCCUCUUUUUUUUGCCAACUUGUGAUGAGUCAUUGGCUCAAAACUUAUUUGUUGCAGCUUUAUCUUGUGCCCUUAACAGUACUGAAUAUAAAUAAAUUGGAGAGAAGGAAAAACAUUUAGAAACAACAA